rnacentral:rRNA from 1 species
CCUACGGGAGACAGCAGUGGGGAAUAUUGGGCAAUGGAGGAAACUCUGACCCAGCAACGCCGCGUGAAUGAUGAAGGUCUUCGGAUUGUAAAGUUCUUUUCUAAGGGAAGAAGAAAGUGACGGUACCUUAGGAAUAAGCCUCGGCUAACUACGUGCCAGCAGCCGCGGUAAUACGUAGGAGGCGAGCGUUAUCCGGAAUGACUGGGCGUAAAGGGUGCGUAGGUGGUUUGGCAAGUUAGUAGCGUAACUCCAAGGCUCAACCUUGGAACUACUACUAAAACUGUUGGACUUGAGUGCAGGAGGGGCAACCGGAAUUCCUAGUGUAGCGGUGAAAUGCAUAGAUAUCACGCAGAACUCCGAUUGCGAAGGCAGCAUACCGGCGCCCGACUGACGCUGAGGCACGAAAGCGUGGGUAUCGAACAGGAUUAGAUACCCGGGUAGUC